AUUGAACGCUGGCGGCAUGCCUUACACAUGCAAGUCGAACGGUAACAGGUCUUCUGAUGCUGCCGAGUGGCGAACGGGUGAGUAAUACAUCGGAACGUGCCCGAUCGUGGGGGGUAACGGAGCGAAAGCUUUGCUAAUACCGCAUACGAUCUACGGAGGAAAGCAGGGGACCGCAAGGCCUUGCGCGGACGGAGCGGCCGAUGGCAGAUUAGGUAGUUGGUGGGAUAAAAGCUUACCAAGCCGACGAUCUGUAGCUGGUCUGAGAGGACGACCAGCCACACUGGGACUGAGACACGGCCCAGACUCCUACGGGAGGCAGCAGUGGGGAAUUUUGGACAAUGGGCGAAAGCCUGAUCCAGCCAUGCCGCGUGCAGGAUGAAGGCCUUCGGGUUGUAAACUGCUUUUGUACGGAACGAAAAGACUCUUUCUAAUAAAGAGGGUCCAUGACGGUACCGUAAGAAUAAGCACCGGCUAACUACGUG
rnacentral:rRNA from 1 species